rnacentral:rRNA from 1 species
GGGGAAUAUUGGACAAUGGGCGCAAGCCUGAUCCAGCCAUGCCGCGUGAGUGAUGAAGGCCCUAGGGUUGUAAAGCUCUUUCACCGGUGAAGAUAAUGACGGUAACCGGAGAAGAAGCCCCGGCUAACUUCGUGCCAGCAGCCGCGGUAAUACGAAGGGGGCUAGCGUUGUUCGGAAUUACUGGGCGUAAAGCGCACGUAGGCGGGUAUUUAAGUCAGGGGUGAAAUCCCAGAGCUCAACUCUGGAACUGCCUUUGAUACUGGGUACCUAGAGUAUGGAAGAGGUAAGUGGAAUUCCGAGUGUAGAGGUGAAAUUCGUAGAUAUUCGGAGGAACACCAGUGGCGAAGGCGGCUUACUGGUCCAUUACUGACGCUGAGGGGCGAAAGCGUGGGGAGCAAAC